GGAUGACCUAGCCUAGUUCUUACACUAGAAGGAAAACUGUGAAUUUGUGGGAAUGCAAAACCAUUACCCAAAGGACACUCUGUCUGAUUGAGAACAGAGGCUUAAACUUGUCUUUCUGUUUGAAUUGCAUGUCCUACCCAACAGAUCACCGAGAUGAUUUUUUUUUUCUGUUUAUUUAUUUACUUAUUUUUUCUUAAGGGAAAUAUAUAGAUACAUAUGCACAUAAACACAUAAGUAAGAACAGGAGUUUUAAGAUUUUGCAUCUUUAAAAUCUGUGACUGAGUAUAGCAGAACUUCUUAUUUUCCUUCAAGACAACUUCCUUCAAGACAAAUUGACCCACCUGUGUGAGAUCCCCAGCCCAGACCCCAGAGUGGCUGUUAAAGCCUCUGCCCCCCAGCUCAGCAUCUGCUCUAACUGCUGGCUCAGUCAAGCAGCUGUGGACCCCGAUUACACCACAUAGAAAUGCUAUGAACUUGUAAUAUUGCUGAGGUUCCAGCCUGCAUCUGAAAAGCCUCAGUAAAAAGCUAGUGAACCUUAUGUUACAGAAGAAGAUUUUGGUAGUUAUCAGUACUGAUUAACGUCUACUUGCUGCAGGUCAGGGGCAGACUGGUGCACUGUGCCCACAACCAGAGUUGCUGCUUGACACAAAUCCCACAACACUGGAGAUGGAAAUGGGAGAUGACUGGUGUUGGACCAAACCCCCUUUCUUCUGUUCAGCUUGCAUCUGCAAGAUGGGCUUCUCCCUGCACUACCACUUGCCCUUGCAAAGUGUUUGGUGAGGAGAAGUUGCUGUCACAAAAUCAUGAAACAGAAACAGCAUCAUGUGACACAGCUGAGAGAGUGACAAGGGAAAUGACACAAGGAAAGAGAAAGAUAAGGGCAAAAGGAUGGAAAUGAAUCCUUACAAAUUGUGCUUGUAAUCUGAGGGUGUUAUCAAAACAAGUCUGAAGAUUGGAAGGAACAAAACAUUUUGCCAUCCUUGUCCAGCUCAAGCAGCACUCUAUUCUGUUUCAGUCCUGU
rnacentral:lncRNA from 1 species